UACGUAGGGGGCAAGCGUUGUCCGGAUUUAUUGGGCGUAAAGAGCGUGUAGGCGGCCUGAAAGGUCAGCUGUGAAAACUCGAGGCUCAACCUCGAGACGUCGGUUGAAACCAUCUGGCUAGAGUCCGGAAGAGGAGUGUGGAAUUCCCGGUGUAGCGGUGAAAUGCGCAGAUAUCGGGAAGAACACCCGUGGCGAAGGCGGCACUCUGGGAAGGAACUGACGCUGAGACGCGAAAGCGUGGGGAGCGAACAGG
rnacentral:rRNA from 1 species